UAAGCGGAGGAAAAGAAACUAACAAGGAUUCCCCUAGUAACUGCGAGUGAAGCGGGAAAAGCUCAAAUUUAAAAUCUGGUGGUCUUUGGCCAUCCGAGUUGUAAUUUAGAGAAGCGUCUUCCGCGCUGGACCGUGCACAAGUCUCCUGGAAUGGAGCGUCAUAGAGGGUGAGAAUCCCGUCUUUGGCACGGACACACCAGGGCUUUUGUGAUGCGCUCUCGAAGAGUCGAGUUGUUUGGGAAUGCAGCUCAAAAUGGGUGGUGAACUCCAUCUAAAGCUAAAUAUUGGCGAGAGACCGAUAGCGAACAAGUACCGUGAGGGAAAGAUGAAAAGCACUUUGGAAAGAGAGUGAAACAGUACGUGAAAUUGUUGAAAGGGAAACGCUUGAAGUCAGUCACGUCGACCGAGACUCAGCCUUGCCUCGGCUUGGUGUACUUCUCGGCUGACGGGUCAGCAUCAAUUUCGCCCCUUGGAUAAUGGCGAGGGAAAUGUGACACCUUUACGGUGUGUUAUAGUCUCUCGUCGCAUGCAAGGGUUGGGAUUGAGGAACUCAGCACGCGCCUUUGGGCGUCGGGGCUUUGCCCACGAUACGUGCUUAGGAUGUUGGCAUAAUGGCUUUAAACGACC
rnacentral:rRNA from 1 species